GAACAUCAGACAGAAAUAUGUUUUCGUUUGCAAUUUCAUGUAAGAUAGUAUUGCUGAUGUUACAUUCAAAGAGUAAGGAGUCACCAUAUUUUUUAAGGAUUUUCUGGUAGAAUAAUUUCCAUUUACUCGUAUUGGUAUUAUCUAGGUAUCUUUUAACCCAGCUGCAUUUGAUUGCAUUCAAGAAUGAGUCAAUGUUCGUUAAUUGGAUACCUCCAUUUUCUACAGAUUGAAUUAACUGAGUUCUUUUUAUUUUAUCAGGCUUACCGUCCCAUAUGAAAUUAAAUAUUGCUGAUUUUAUAUCGUUAAUAACAUCGUUUGGUGGAUUUGGGAGAACUGUUAAUACAUAUAUUAAUUUAGGAAGUGCAAACGUUUUCAAUACUGUGUUUUUUCCGAUUAGUGUAAGUUUACGAUGAUGCCAUGAUUUUAAGCAGUUUUUAAAAUUCUGUAAUUUAGGUAGUAUGUUUUUAAGAACUGUAUCCUUUUCAUUAUUUGUGAAAGUAAUGCCUAACGUUGUGGCUUCAUCGGAUGUCCAAUUAAAUUUCAUUUAUUUUUUAUAUUGAACAUUACUUUGUUUUAAUUUACCUACUCGUAGCACAGUACAUUUACUUUUGUUUAGUUUAAGACCCGAUGUCAUUCCGUAAAGGGUUAGCGACUCUAUUAGGUUAUGGAAAGAAUCGUAAUUGUCGUUUAAAAAAUAAGUUGCAUCGUCAGCAAAUAGGGAUUGUUUGAUUUCUUCGUCAGGUUCUAGUGAUAUGCCUUUUAUGUGUUUAUUUGAUUGGAUUUGAUGUGAUAGAUACUCGAUGCAAAUAAUAAAUAGCGAUGAUGAGAGUGGACAUCCUUGUCGAACCCCUCGUUCGAUGUUAAAACU